rnacentral:lncRNA from 1 species
AUGGCGCUGGGCUGGGCUGUGCUGGUGCUGCUGGUGCUGAGCCCCCUGCGGGCGUGUGGGGCUGAGCUGCCGGAGCCGGGGCUGCCCCGGGACGGGCGGUGGGUCUGGGGGGUGGCCAAGCCCCUGCCCCUCUCCCGUGGGAAGAGGGAUGACAGCGGGCAGGAGCCCGGUGCCACCGCGAUGAUCAGCAGUGACAAGAGCGAGGGUGUGUCUGUGCCACCACCAGCACCCGUCACCAAGGCCAGCCUGCUCCGGGUGCCAAGCACAGCCGAUCCCAUGGAUGAUUCCCCCGAGCCUGAGCUGCUCCUGAGCUCUGCAGCACCGGAGCCCAGCACCAACACCAGCCUGCUCCGAGUGCUUGCAGUGUCCACCACAGCCGAGCCUUUGGAUGAGACAGAUUCCCCUGAACCCGAUUUACUGGAGGACUCUGUGGCACCGGCAGCACCCAGCACCAGCACCAGCACCAGCACCAGCCUGCUCUGGGUGCCUGUAGUGUCCACCACAGCUGAUCCCAUGGGCGACACAGAUCCCCCUGAUCCCGACCUGCUCCUGAGCUCUGCCCCACCACCAGCACCCAGCACCAAGGCCAGCCGGGCACUCAUGGUGCCAAGCACAGCUGAUCCCAUGGAUGAGACCGACACCCCUGAUCCCGACCUGCUGCCUGGCUCAGAGCCCGGCACACCCUCAGCAGCCCAAAGGAGCAUCACCACCACCACCCGCAGCUGGCUCACGUCACCCAUGGAAGAGGACACAGUGACUGAUGGCCUGGACAGGAGCUCCUCCGCGGGGCCACGCUCAGCUGCCCCCCCAGCCUUCGUCCUCACCACCACGGGCUACAAGAAACCCAAGAAAUCCGGAGCUCCGCCUGCACCGACCCUCCUGGCCCCUUGGGACACGUCCGCGGUGCCCUGGGAGCCCAGCGGGGUGAUGAGCAGGUGCCUGCUGGCCAUCGUGCUGCUGGGGCUGGUGGCCGCCACCUUCGUGGUGUGCACGGGGGUGCUGGGGUCGCUGCUGUGGCGGCGGGCGCGGACGGGGCAGCGCCGCUUCAGCCGCACCGAGAUGGUUUGUAUCUCCUCGUUGCUGCCCGACGCCGAGGCGGCCGCCGGCCCCCGGCCCGUCCCCGCCCGGGGGGGGGGGGGGCGGCCCCCGACCCGUCCCCGCCCGGAGACACAAGCUGCUGCUGCCCGACGGCAGCUCCGAGCCCGACGGAGACAACCUGACUCUCAGCAGCUUCCUGCCGGAGCACUCCUGAGCCGCAGGGAUGGAUCCCGCACCCCCCAGCGCUGCGGGGCCCGGUGGAGCGGCGGGCAGGGGCUCCCUGUCCCCCGGUGUUUUAACUUGGACCGGUGUGAAUGA